UACGUAGGUGACAAGCGUUGUCCGGAUUUACUGGGCGUAAAGAGCGCGCAGGCGGUCGAUCAAGUCGAGUGUGAAAGCCCCCGGCUCAACUGGGGAGGGUCAUUCGAUACUGAUCGACUCGAAGGCAGGAGAGGGUAGUGGAAUUCCCGGUGUAGUGGUGAAAUGCGUAGAUAUCGGGAGGAACACCAGUGGCGAAGGCGACUACCUGGCCUGUUCUUGACGCUGAGGUGCGAAAGCGUGGGGAGCAAACAGG
rnacentral:rRNA from 1 species